rnacentral:rRNA from 1 species
AAACUUUUAACAACGGAUCUCUUGGCUCCAGCAUCGAUGAAGAACGCAGCGAAACGCGAUAUGUAAUGUGAAUUGCAGAAUUCAGUGAAUCAUCGAAUCUUUGAACGCACAUGGCGCCUUCCAGUAUCCUGGGAGGCAUGCCUGUCCGAGC